AACGAACGCUGGCGGCAUGCCUAACACAUGCAAGUCGAACGAGAUCUUCGGGUCUAGUGGCGCACGGGUGCGUAACGCGUGGGAAUCUGCCCUUGGUUCGGAAUAACAGUUGGAAACGACUGCUAAUACCGGAUGAUGACGAAAGUCCAAAGAUUUAUCGCCAGAGGAUGAGCCCGCGUAGGAUUAGCUAGUUGGUGUGGUAAAGGCGCACCAAGGCGACGAUCCUUAGCUGGUCUGAGAGGAUGAUCAGCCACACUGGGACUGAGACACGGCCCAGACUCCUACGGGAGGCAGCAGUGGGGAAUAUUGGACAAUGGGCGAAAGCCUGAUCCAGCAAUGCCGCGUGAGUGAUGAAGGCCUUAGGGUUGUAAAGCUCUUUUACCCGGGAUGAUAAUGACAGUACCGGGAGAAUAAGCUCCGGCUAACUCCGUGCCAGCAGCCGCGGUAAUACGGAGGGAGCUAGCGUUGUUCGGAAUUACUGGGCGUAAAGCGCACGUAGGCGGCUUUGUAAGUUAGAGGUGAAAGCCUGGAGCUCAACUCCAGAACUGCCUUUAAGACUGCAUCGCUUGAAUCCAGGA
rnacentral:rRNA from 1 species